rnacentral:rRNA from 1 species
AUACGGAGGAUCCGAGCGUUAUCCGGAUUUAUUGGGUUUAAAGGGAGCGUAGGUGGGAUAUUAAGUCAGCUGUGAAAGUUUGGGGCUCAACCUUAAAAUUGCAGUUGAUACUGGUUUCCUUGAGUACGGUACAGGUGGGCGGAAUUCGUGGUGUAGCGGUGAAAUGCUUAGAUAUCACGAAGAACUCCGAUCGCGAAGGCAGCUCACCGGGCCGGAACUGACACUGAUGCUCGAAAGUGCGGGUAUCAAACAGGAUUAGAUACCCUGGUAGUCCACACAGUAAACGAUGAAUACUCGCUGUUUGCGAUAUACAGUAAGCGGCCAAGCGAAAGCGUUAAGUAUUCCACCUGGGGAGUACGCCGGCAACGGUGAAACUCAAAUGAAUUGACGGGG